CUAUAAAAAGCAAUCGGGUAUGUGGAGAUAGGUGGAGGCUUCGUUUGGAAAAAAAUUCAGAAAAAGAAGAGCAGAAAAAGAGAAAAGUCAGAACGUGAGAAAGAGAGAGGAGAAAAGUAAAAAAAGCAGAGGUGAUUUGACUCCUACUGUUCAUCAUCUUCCCCACUGUAGCUGCCCCAAUCGCCAGUUUCUCUUCACUCGCGCUGCGCUCACACCGCCGGUCUCCACCAGCCGCGACCCGCCUCCUCACGACGACCCGAAGCCCCACCGGAGACCACACCGCUGGUCUGCUGCCUCGCC
rnacentral:lncRNA from 1 species